rnacentral:rRNA from 1 species
AGUGAACGCUGGCGGUAGGCCUAACACAUGCCAGUCGAACGGCAGCACAGUAAGAGCUUGCUCUUACGGGUGGCGAGUGGCGGACGGGUGAGGAAUACAUCGGAAUCUACUUUUUCGUGGGGGAUAACGUAGGGAAACUUACGCUAAUACCGCAUACGACCUACGGGUGAAAGCAGGGGAUCUUCGGACCUUGCGCGAUUGAAUGAGCCGAUGUCGGAUUAGCUAGUUGGCGGGGUAAAGGCCCACCAAGGCGACGAUUCGUAGCUGGUCUGAGAGGAUGAUCAGCCACACUGGAACUGAGACACGGUCCAGACUCCUACGGGAGGCAGCAGUGGGGAAUAUUGGACAGUGGGCGCAAGCCUGAUCCAGCCAUACCGCGUGGGUGAAGAAGGCCUUCGGGUUGUAAAGCCCUUUUGUUGGGAAAGAAAAGCAGCAGGUUAAUACCCCGCUGUUCUGACGGUACCCAAAGAAUAAGCACCGGCUAACUUCGUG